AACUCUCAAACCACAUCUUCAUUGAUGUUGGGUUUGGAUUUGGACGUUGCUGGACUUUUCGGCUCGUCUUGAAUGCAUUAGCUGGCGAUUUCGACUACAGUUAAACCGUGUGAUAAUACAUCUACGCGGGCAGCCGUCAAGGCGCUGGGUCGUCAUUCAAAGGCUUCUAAUUGUCCUUUGAGGACCGCCUUUAUUGGCGUAUUCAUUUCAC
rnacentral:misc_RNA from 1 species